GAAGUCUCCUCCAUGUCUGAGUCUGUUUCUAUUUUGUAGAUAGGUUCCUUUGUGCCAUAUUUUAGAUCCCACAUAUCUGUAUCACUAUGAAGUUUGAUUUUAUUUCUAGUCUUAAAUGUUAAAAAAAGAGAAGAAACCGCUCUGCAAGGGGACUUUUUGAUGGUUGGGAAGUGGCUGGUCUUCACAGCCACCCAAGACAUUUUGAAAUACCAGGCUUAAUCAUGGAUGUAGGGAGGGGUUGGGCUAAAGAGGAAGGAACACAUUCUUUUUUGCCUUUUUUUUUUUAAGGCUUCUGGCUUAUGGAAGUUCCCAGGCUAGGAGUUGAAUUGGAGCUGCAGCUGCAGGCCUACACCACAGCCACAGCAACAGGAGAUCCAAGCUGUGUCUGCAACCUACACCACAGCUCAAGGCAGCACUGGAUCCUGAGAGAGGCCAGGGAUUGAACCUGCAUGUUCAUAGAUACUAUUCGGGGGCAUUACCACUGAGCCAUAAUGGGAACUCCAGAAACGCAUUCUUAACCUAACUCAGGUGACAGAGGAAAGGGCUGAAAUCUCUUUCUUGGCAACUAAAGGAACUUUAUGGAAUUGCCCAAAGGUAGAGAGAUAUGGUCUAGAUGCCUCCAUUGUGUCUUUUCUGACUUGGGGAUUCAGGACCACCCCUCCUCUAACUAGAGUCAGGGAACUUGCAAAGGGCUUCCUUUGACUUUACAAACAAAUUGAAGCACUGAACUCCUUGAAAGGAUGGAGCCAAGUAGGUAUUAGAAUGGCCACCGUUACCAAAUGUGGCUUUCUUGGUUUUCAUCUCUGUGUCCAGAGCUACUCUGUGUCCAGAGCUACUCUAUACCCUCCUGGGCCAUGUUAGUUCUAGGAGGGCUGAGAUUUCUAUUUAGUUCCUUUGCUGUUGCAGCCCUAACACCCUAGAAUAGUGUCUGGAACAUAAUAGAUCUUCAACAGAUAUUUAAGUGAAUGAAUAAAAUUAGGUAUAAGAAACCAGCUGUUUAAAAAAGCAGAAAGGGGGAGUUUUCCUUCUAGCUCAGUUGUUAAAGAGUCUGACUAGGAACCAUGAGGUUGUGGGUUCGAUCCCUGACCUCCUUCAGUGGAUUAAGGAUCUGGCAUUGCCGUGAGCUGUGGUGUAGGUUGCAGAUGCAGCUCGGAUCUGGCAUCGCUGUGACUCUGGUGUAGGCCGGUGGCUACAGCUCCAAUUAGACCUCUAGCCUGGAAACCUCCAUAUGCUGUGAGAGAGGCUCCCCCAAAUAAAAUAAAAUAAUAAUAAAAUAAAAUAAAGUGGCUGCAGAAAUUUCUAUACAAUGGAUGGACGAUCAUCAUUGACUUAGUGGCUUCUCUGUUGCUGACUAUCAGGUCCACAUUCCUUUUCUGCCCACUUACCCCCACCCCCUUUCUAGGCCCCUGUUACAUAGUCUCUGGUUGCUCUGAGGACUUCCCUUCCCAUACCCCUCAAGUACUCCAUUUCCCAAAUUACCUGCUUUUCUGCUCCCUCAACCCAAGCUUUUGGUUCUUCAGAGUAGCUGACUGGUGCAGGGGAUCAUUGGGAGCUUUGAACUGAACUCAGUUCUGCUCAUAUAUCAACAGCUAGCAGACCUCUUACAGGUCUCUUACCAGUCCAGAGCAACUUGCAUUGUUAAAAGAAGCAGCUUGUUAAUCCAAAUUAAUCUUUGCAUUGAGGUGGCUGAGCAAAUCAAAAGGAAAACUUUCUUUGUAGGGUAGGGAAACACUGGGUCAUGACGGUCACCUUACAACUAGGCUAAUCCUGCUUGAGACUCUUUCCUCUAACCAAGUCCCCUAAAAUAUUGCUGGCUUUCCAUAGUUGAGUUCAUUCCUUCACUUCUGACCCUAUAGAUCUAAACACCAGUAUUUGUUUUCCCUUCCCCCUCCUCUCCAGUGGUUUCCAUGGCAACAGUAGUUGCUAUUGAAAGGAAGGAGACAGGUGUCCCCACUGUCUUUUCUAACAGUGGGUUUAUCUAUAAAUUGAGAUUAGUCUCUUCUAAACAAGGCUAAUCAACAAAUAAAAGGAAUAAGAGUAAAACAAAUACAAACUAGGGUUUAAGUCAUUUGUUUUCCUAAACAUCUGUGAUUAGUAACGCUGCGUCACCUUGACUUUCCUUUUAUCAUAUCAGUGCAUGUAUGGGUUAUGGUGGGAAAGGGCUGCUUGGAAGAGACUGGAAGCGGGAUGGGUCUGAGCAAGCAAGGGCUUAGGGCCAGAGGUCAGCUGUGGCAGCAAGGAGCAGAGUUAUCUGGACCAUUGCUAAAGAUCUCAGCCCAAAGGAAUCCACACUCAAUUUAGUUUACAGUUUCACAGGAGGUGGGCGAUCAUAGUCAGAUGCCAGAGAUGAACUUGAAAGCAUUGGGGCCCAGAGCAGAGGCUGGGAUUAUCUCCCUGGAAAGGAGAAGCUAAGAGUCUACUUUAAAAGUAAACAUAUCUUGACUUCUGCCCUGGACAUUAUCUAGGACAAUGUUAAUGGGAUGGUUGGGAAGCCUGGGAAAGAGUGUACUUCAUGACCUCAACUCAUUUUAUUUAUUCUGUCAGAGAUAUCGGUCCUGUGCUGGGUCCUAUGUCAUUUAUUUAUUUGUUUAUUUAUUCCCCCCACCCCAAGGCAUAUGGAGUUCCCAGGCCAGGGAUCAGAUUUGAGCCAUAGUAACGACCUAGCUGCAGCUGCAGCAACAGGGCACCUUUAACCCAUGACACCUGACCAGGUAUCGAAUCUAUGUCCCAGUGCUGCAAAGAUGACCCUGAUCCCAAAGCACCACAGUGGGAACUCCCAAAGUCCCUUUUUAGACAAACGCAUCUUCUUUCUGACUAGGCUGCCCCCAGCUUUCUACACAGGCUUCUUUUUUGGCUGAUCAAAAAGAAACCCUCAGAAAUGUGGCUUCAUAAACCCUGCAGAUCAUUUCCCUGGUGAUGCAACCACAAGGCUGCCUGCCUUCUCUACCUCCUUGAAAGUCAGCUUCAUUCUGUCAAUGAAAAAUGUUGCCUGCCCUAUCAGCAAACUGAAAACGCUGCAGCCAUCAAGGCACCAGCCACUAUGCUGCCCCUACGGUGAGUCCUGAGGGAACUAAGGAUGGAGGCAACAGGUUUACUGGCUGCCAAGCCCUCAGUCACUGCAGCUACUCCCAGUGGUGCACCCGGAGGGGACUCAGGGUGAGAAAGAACUGGUCCUGGAUAGCUAAGGUGAUAUCAAAACACCUUAGCACCAUAAUUUGAAAGGCAUAAUUUCAAUGAACCCAGACUCAAGCAUCUUUCCAUACACAGAAAAGCACUGUCACUUGGGAUGUCUGGUUUUCUUUAAUUAAUCUCUUGAUGCUCCAACUACCUGGUUGUGGUUGCGAAACUCCUAGUCCUGGCUCCUCACUCAACUCUUCAGAGUGGUCCCUUAGCUCUGAGAGGCUGUCUUCAGGAAUUAAGUCCUUGGAAAUUCCGCCCAGUAAAACAGAAUUCUCAAAUUUUAGGCGGUGCAUUUUUUUAUGUCAACAAUUGGUACCUUGCCUCCUCCUUGCAAUCCUCUUCUUCAUUAAACAGUUUUACAUACUGAGGUUUAAUGGACACCCAUUACACGGCACAUAUGUAAAUCAUACAGUUUGAUGUUUUGAUAUGUGAAGUCAUCAUGAAACUAUGAUCUCAUCAUUACCAUCAAGAUGGUACCCCACUGUGUGGGCGGUACCACUAUUAGCUUAUCCAUGUACCUGUACCUGUUGAUGGACUUGGGGUUAUCUUGCAAAUAAAGCUGCCAUGAACAUUUGUGUACUGGUCUUUGUAAGGAUAGCGGCUAUCCUUUUUCUUGGGUACAUAUCUAGGAGCGAAAUGGCUGGAUCAUACGAUAGAUGCAUGUUCAGCUUUUUAAGAAAAUGUUUUCCAGUGUUGUAGCAUUUUGCCUUCCCAGCAGCAAUAGAUGAGAAUUCCAGUUGUUUUACAUCCUUGUCAGUAUUUGCUAUGGUCAGUCUUUUGAUUUUUAGUCGUUCUAACAGGUAUGUGAUUUUAUCUCAUUUUGUUUUAAUUUGCACCGACUUAAUGACUAAUGAUGUGGAACAUCUUUUCAUGUGGUAGUUUGCCAUGCAUGUAUCUUCUUUGAUGAAGUAUCUCCUCAAGACUUUUCUACAUUUUGGGAGAGGUUAUUUUGUUAUUACUGAGUUCUUUAUGUAUUCUGGAUCUAAGAUAUCAGACAUAUGAUCUGCAAAUAUUUUCUCCCAGUCUAUGGUGUGUCUUUUCAUUUUCCUAAUAGUAUCUUUUGAAGAGUAAAUGUUUAAAAUUUUGGUGAAAUACAGCUUAUCAAUUUAUUUGUUUAUUAUUAUUAUUUGCUUCUUAGGGCUGCACCCACAGCAUAUGGAAGUUCAGAGGCUAGGGGUCGAAUUGGAGUUACAGCUGCCGGCUAUACCACAGCCAUAGCAAUGCCACAUUUGAGCCAUGUCUGUGACCUACACCACAGCUCACGGCAACAGCAACACUAGAUCCUUAACCCACUGAGUGGGGCCAGGGAUGGAACAUCCAUCUUCAUGAAUGCUAGUCUGAUUUAUUUCUGCUGAGCCACAAUGGGAACUCCUAUCAAUUUAUUUUUUAAUGGAUAUUGCUUCUAAUAUCAUCCAUAAGAAAUAUUUACCUAAUCUAAGGUUACAAAGAUUUUCCCUUAUGUCUUCUCUAGAAGUUUUAUAAUUUUAUGUUUUAUAUUUAGGUCUAUAGACAUUUUAAAUUAAUUUUUGUACAUGGUGUGAAGUAUUAAUCAAUUCUUUUCCCCUUCACAGAUAUUUAAUUGUUCCAGCAGCAUUCGUUGAAAAGACUAUCCUUUUUCCACAGAAUUGCCUUAGCACCUUUGUCAAAAGUUAAGUUUUUUUUACAAUAUAUGUGUGAC
rnacentral:lncRNA from 1 species